rnacentral:tRNA from 1 species
UCCCUGAUGGUCUCGUGGUUAAGACUCUGCGCUUCCACCGUGGAGGCAGGGGUUCCAUCCCGGUCAGGGAA